rnacentral:tRNA from 1 species
GUGGGUGUAGCUCAGUGGCAGAGUGCAUGCUCAGCAUGCAUGACGUCCUGGGUUCAAUCCCCAGUACUUUUA